AAUAAGUGCAGCCAUAAGUUUCCGCGCCCAACUUUGGUUGUCCGUCUUAUUUGAAAUUUUUUUAUAAUUAGCAUUUUUGUUGUUAUGAGAUGAUAAAACAUGAAUAGUAAUUUACUCGUGACUUAUGUUUUUAAUUUUUUUUCAAAAAAAUUCAAAUAAAACGAACAGUCAAAGUUGAGCGCGGAAAACCAUGGCUGCACUUAUU
rnacentral:pre_miRNA from 1 species